UACGUAGGGGGCAAGCGUUGUCCGGAAUUACUGGGCGUAAAGCGUGCGCAGGCGGUUCGUCGUGUCCGAUGUGAAAGCCCCGGGCUCAACCUGGGAAUGGCAUUGGAAACUGGCGGACUCGAGUGUGGCAGAGGGGGGUGGAAUUCCGCGUGUAGCAGUGAAAUGCGUAGAGAUGCGGAGGAACACCGAUGGCGAAGGCAGCCCCCUGGGCUAACACUGACGCUCAGGCACGAAAGCGUGGGGAGCAAACAGG
rnacentral:rRNA from 1 species